GCGGAGGGCUGGAUGACCGCGGGGCCGCAAGGUUUCGAGGAAAGUCCGGACUCCCGUUGGCAAGGGUGCCGGGUAACGCCCGGCGGGGGCAACCCCAGGGAAAGCGCCACAGAGAAGAGACAGCCCCGGUCGCGAACGAAGGUUCGCCUUCGCGAACGCCGGGGUCAUGGUGAAACGGUGGGGUAAGAGCCCACCGCGGACUUGGCGACAAGGACGGCACGGCAAGCCCCACCCGGAGCAAUGCCAAAUAGGGGCCUCGCGCGGGGGCCGGUCGGGAAACCGAGACCGCCCGCAGGGAUGCCAACGCCCGAGAGGCCCGGGUUGGCAGCUUGACCGCCGUGGCAACACGGUUGGCAGAGGAAUGGUCAUCCAGGGGCGCAAGCCCUGGACAAAAUCCGGCUUACAGGCUCUCCGCGCAA
rnacentral:RNase_P_RNA from 1 species